rnacentral:rRNA from 1 species
GACGAACGCUGGCGGCGUGCUUAACACAUGCAAGUCGAACGGAAAGGCCCUGCUUUUGUGGGGUGCUCGAGUGGCGAACGGGUGAGUAACACGUGAGUAACCUGCCCUUGACUUUGGGAUAACUUCAGGAAACUGGGGCUAAUACCGGAUAGGAGCUCCUGCUGCAUGGUGGGGGUUGGAAAGUUUCGGCGGUUGGGGAUGGACUCGCGGCUUAUCAGCUUGUUGGUGGGGUAGUGGCUUACCAAGGCUUUGGCGGGUAGCCGGCCUGAGAGGGUGACCGGCCACAUUGGGACUGAGAUACGGCCCAGACUCCUACGGGAGGCAGCAGUGGGGAAUAUUGCACAAUGGGCGGAAGCCUGAUGCAGCAACGCCGCGUGCGGGAUGACGGCCUUCGGGUUGUAAACCGCUUUCGCCUGUGACGAAGCGUGAGUGACGGUAAUGGGUAAAGAAGCACCGGCUAACUACGUGCCAGCAGCCGCGGUGAUACGUAGGGUGCGAGCGUUGUCCGGAUUUAUUGGGCGUAAAGGGCUCGUAGGUGGUUGAUCGCGUCGGAAGUGUAAUCUUGGGGCUUAACCCUGAGCGUGCUUUCGAUACGGGUUGACUUGAGGAAGGUAGGGGAGAAUGGAAUUCCUGGUGGAGCGGUGGAAUGCGCAGAUAUCAGGAGGAACACCAGUGGCGAAGGCGGUUCUCUGGGCCUUUCCUGACGCUGAGGAGCGAAAGCGUGGGGAGCGAACAGGCUUAGAUACCCUGGUAGUCCACGCUGUAAACGGUGGGUACUAGGUGUGGGGUCCAUUCCACGGGUUCCGUGCCGUAGCUAACGCUUUAAGUACCCCGCCUGGGGAGUACGGCCGCAAGGCUAAAACUCAAAGGAAUUGACGGGGCCCCGCACAAGCGGCGGAGCAUGCGGAUUAAUUCGAUGCAACGCGUAGAACCUUACCUGGGUUUGACAUGGAUCGGGAGUGCUCAGAGAUGGGUGUGCCUCUUUUGGGGUCGGUUCACAGGUGGUGCAUGGCUGUCGUCAGCUCGUGUCGUGAGAUGUUGGGUUAAGUCCCGCAACGAGCGCAACCCUUGUUCACUGUUGCCAGCACGUUAUGGUGGGGACUCAGUGGAGACCGCCGGGGUCAACUCGGAGGAAGGUGGGGAUGACGUCAAGUCAUCAUGCCCCUUAUGUCCAGGGCUUCACGCAUGCUACAAUGGCUGGUACAGAGAGUGGCGAGCCUGUGAGGGUGAGCGAAUCUCGGAAAGCCGGUCUCAGUUCGGAUUGGGGUCUGCAACCCGACCUCAUGAAGUCGGAGUCGCUAGUAAUCGCAGAUCAGCAACGCUGCGGUGAAUACGUUCCCGGG